GAUGAACGCUGGCGGCGUGCCUAAUACAUGCAAGUCGAGCGAACAGACGAGGAGCUUGCUCCUCUGACGUUAGCGGCGGACGGGUGAGUAACACGUGGAUAACCUACCUAUAAGACUGGGAUAACUUCGGGAAACCGGAGCUAAUACCGGAUAAUAUAUUGAACCGCAUUGUUCAAUAGUGAAAGACGGUUUUCCUGUCACUUAUAGAUGGAUCCGCGCUGCAUUAGCUAGUUGGUAAGGUAACGGCUUACCAAGGCAACGAUGCGUAGCCGACCUGAAAGGGUGGUCGGCCAGACUGGAACUGAGACAGGGUCCAGACACCUACGGGAGGCAGCAGUAGGGAAUCUUACGCAAUGGGGGAAAGCUUGACGGAGCAAAGCGGCGUGAGUGAUGAAGGUGUUCGGAUGGUAAAACUAUGUUAUUAGGGAAGAAGAAAUGUGUAAGUAACUAUGCAGGUAUUGACGGUACCUAAUAAGAAAGCAACGGCUAACUACGUG
rnacentral:rRNA from 1 species